AGAGUUUGAUCCUGGCUCAGGACGAACGCUGGCGGCGUGCUUAAUGCAUGCAAGUCGAACGAGAUCCUCCCGCUGGGUAACCAAUGGGAACGAUCUAGUGGCGAACGGGUGAGUAACACGUGAGGAAUCUGCCCCGAAGACCGGAAUAGCCCAGGGAAACUUGGAUUAAUACCGGAUACCCUCGUAGGACCGCAUGGUCUUGCGAGGAAAUGGUCCGCCGCUUCGGGAUGACCUCGGGUCCUAUCAGCUUGUUGGUGAGGUAACGGCUCACCAAGGCAAUGACGGGUAGCUGGUCUGAGAGGACGAUCAGCCACACUGGGACUGAGACACGGCCCAGACUCCUACGGGAGGCAGCAGCAGGGAAUAUUGCGCAAUGGGCGAAAGCCUGACGCAGCGACGCCGCGUGCGGGAUGAAGGCCUUCGGGUCGUAAACCGCUUUCAGUGGGGAAGAAGCGAAAGUGACGGUACCCACAGAAGAAGCCCCGGCCAACUACGUGCCAGCAGCCGCGGUAAUACGUGGGGGGCGAGCGUUGUCCGGAUUUAUUGGGCGUAAA
rnacentral:rRNA from 1 species